GAUGUCUGGCCUGGCUGGAGGUGGUUGGUCCUUAAGAGACCAGAGAAGACUAUCAGUGCAGUGAUAACAGUUGCCUCACUGUGAGGAAAGAGUCCCCAACCCAUGUAAGGGACCAGCUUGGCCUGGACCUUGUCCUUAUACUGCAGUGAAGCAGUGAGACUCAUAAUUUUGUUCUGGGAGUGUUAGUUUGUUAGUAUCCAUCUUUGGAAUUGGACAUCGGUGAUCGCCAUUGACCUGAACACACAUUUUGUGGUGGUGCCAUUCUCCUCCUGAUAAGGUAGAGAGAAUAUCAUGGAAUCUCAGCAAUGCCAAUUUAUCACCAGCGUCCAGACAAAUAGGCUCGAGGUGGUAUGUCUCCACCCUGGUGAGCAUUGUGUUCCUGAGCCACAUGGCAGAAAACAACUUUGGAAACUACUGGAACAAAGAGAUUUUUUUGAGUUCCCGUCCCAAAAUGAUAUCCUGUACCAGAGAAAAAUUUCCAUCCUUGGGCGAAUAGAACAUCAGCAAAAGAUCUGCUCCAUCAGGAAGCCUACAUGUCACCUCCUCCUCCCUCCCUUUCCCUUAAAGAGGAGAUGCCGUGAGCUGACUCUACCAGAGUUCAUGGCAUCAGCAAAAGGCAACAAAGUGCAGGAAGUAAAUGAAAAAGGUACCAAGGGCUUCUCUAGAGGACCAGCUCAUCUGACUUAUACAUCAGAUAUUAACUCACCUGUGAAUUCUGCCCCCACGGGGUGAUUGUUUGAAGGCAUUAAGCAAGUCUGAGGAGACAGAAAAUGCUGCCCCAUUUGAUGACACACGUAAGGGGACACGUGGAGGCUGAGAUGGACAAGACUGGCGGUACCUCGCUUUUGUCCUCACGACUCUGGAUGUCUUAGGGUUCUCGGAGGAUACCCACUACCAAAAGGACCUUGGACCAGAGGAUGUUACUGACAUUAGAGAGAACAACAUCACCAGUACAGAACAUUAUCAGCCAGAUGGCGUGGGAUCACAUAUAUGAUGUGUCCCCUCCCUGUCGUGGAAACGACCAACAUGAAAUAGUCAAAGACAUGCUUCAGCAACUGCAAAUGAGCAGCCCCGGGAGGCACCCAGAGACUCCAAAAAGCACAGCAGAAGGAACUGGAAGGAGAUUAGGAACCUGUUUAGAAGGUUUGUUGCUGUUUCCCCACCCCAAGAACAAAAGACACAGCAUCCAGGGUUAAAGAUGAGGCCCAGGCCCAUGGUUCCUAAACCAUUGGUCCGUGUUCAGCCUGGUGUGACUUAACAUCCCCGGAGAAGCCAGUCCAGAACUUCAAAGGAGGUGUACCCCAAACCUGUUGUUACCUGCCAGACACCUCUAGCAACCAGGUCGCCUUCUCUGUACCUUCCUCUCCUGCAGAGUAUGAGCAACCAUCUCCCCCACUGACGAGCAUUGUUCCUCCAGCACUAGUGCCUGGACAGAGAAGCCAGCCACAUAACCACCCUCCUCGGUAGUCCAUGUGACAGAACCUCCUUCCUUCAGACCCCAAGGGGCUGCUGUCCCAUCCAAGGAGUAUUCACACGGAUAAAUUUUAUGUCCCCGUGGGGGAUUCCUUGGCUUUAAUUGAGUGAAGGUCUACGAUCGUUCUGUCUGCUGUGAAUGAGGCUGCUGGCCUUGGUCACUGGGAAUGCAGACCUCUGUGCAAGCUCAGCAAUUUCUCUGGAAAAAGAGUUCCUGAACCAUACCUGUAGCCAAGACCAAGCUGCUAUGACAGUCUACACUGCUCCACCUGUGACGAUGAUGACGCAGUGUGUCCUCAUAAUGAGGACUGGACUCCCUGAAACCUUUCCCAGCUGCUCUCGGGCCCAGGAGACAGGAACGAGGUGUUCUAGGAAACAUCCUCAAUGUUUUCCAGCCUUGUCCCUUAUGAUCAUCUCAGGAAGAUGUGAGAAGAGGCGAUUGCGAUCCAUUUCUUUCCCUCAGAAACUUUUUGGAGGAAGCGGCAUUCACACCGGCCCCAUGUUUGGCUCCCUGAACCCAUGUUGGAUGUCUCAUGACCACCACACAAGAUGUGUCUGCUGAAGAGCAUUAUUGAGUGUCUGGAAUCUGAAGAACAGCUGAUGAGCUCUCUUGAAUGUCUGGCUGGGAGGGACACAGCCCAGCAGCCCUUGGCUUCUUGUGGGAGACUUGACCACAAUAUGUCAGAGCUUUGGACCCCGUGUAUUCAAACACAAGUCACUUGAAGAAACUUUAACAGUGUAAUUAUCUCUAUAAUUUAAACAA